rnacentral:tRNA from 2 species
GCCCGGAUAGCUCAGUUGGUAGAGCAAUGGACUGAAAAUCCAUGUGUCGGCGGUUCAAAUCCGUCUCCGGGCACCA